rnacentral:sRNA from 1 species
AUGACCCCAGUCCUGACCGAGUUGUGUGACUUGAUUCAAUCGGGUGAAUACUUAAGCAUCAUUUGACAGACCAACAGAAAGUCCUUAUAGCUGAAGUGGGAGUAUCGAUGGAGUACUUCAAGAUUUAUCUGAUAUCUCGUCUCACAUCAAUCACCCUCUUGUUAUUCCUUUAUAUUCUUACCGUUCUUUGGCGUUCUACGAUGAGGAUGCUUGAAAGGGGAAACUCGACAAAACAUACAUUUUCUAUUGCACUUGACGGAUUUCCUUUGCUAUCAUUCCUCGUACUUGAUAUCCCGGCUUGCAU